rnacentral:tRNA from 1 species
GCCCCUGGGUGGACUCGAACCACCAACCUUUCGGUUAACUGCUAGUGAUAUUAACAGCCGAACGCGCUAACCAUUGCGCCACAGAGGCA